rnacentral:rRNA from 1 species
GAUGAACGCUGGCGGCGUGCCUAAUACAUGCAAGUCGAGCGAACAGACGAGGAGCUUGCUCCUCUGACGUUAGCGGCGGACGGGUGAGUAACACGUGGAUAACCUACCUAUAAGACUGGGAUAACUUCGGGAAACCGGAGCUAAUACCGGAUAAUAUAUUGAACCGCAUGGUUCAAUAGUGAAAGACGGUUUUGCUGUCACUAAUAGAUGGAUCCGCGCCGCAUUAGCUAGUUGGUAAGGUAAAGGCUUACCAAGGCAACGAUGCGUAGCCGACCUGAGAGGGUGAUCGCACACACUGGCACUGAGACACGGUCCAGACUCCUACGGGAGGCAGCAGUAGGGAAUCUUCCGCAAUGGGCGAGAGCCUGACGGAGCAACGCCGCGUGAGUGAUGAAGGUCUUCGGAUCGUAAAACUCUGUUAUUAGGGAAGAACAAAUGUGUAAGUAACUAUGCACGUCUUGACGGUACCUAAUCAGAAAGCCACGGCUAACUACGUG